GAUGAACGCUGGCGGUAUGCUUAACACAUGCAAGUCGAACGGACUCUUCGGAGUUAGUGGCGGACGGGUGAGUAACGCGUGAGAAUCUGGCUUUGGGUUCGGGACAACCACUGGAAACGGUGGCUAAUACCGGAUGUGCCGAGAGGUAAAAGAGAAAUUGCCUGAAGAUGAGCUCGCGUCUGAUUAGCUAGUUGGUGAGGUAAAGGUUCACCAAGGCAGCGAUCAGUAGCUGGUCUGAGAGGAUGACCAGCCACACUGGGACUGAGACACGGCCCAGACUCCUACGGGAGGCAGCAGUGGGGAAUUUUCCGCAAUGGGCGAAAGCCUGACGGAGCAAUACCGCGUGAGGGAAGAAGGCUCUUGGGUUGUAAACCUCUUUUCUUAGGGAAGAACAAAAUGACGGUACCUAAGGAAUCAGCAUCGGCUAACUCCGUG
rnacentral:rRNA from 1 species